CACGUAGGGCGCAAGCGUUGUCCGGAAUUAUUGGGCGUAAAGAGCGCGUAGGCGGCUCGUUAAGUGUGAAGUGAAAUCUCCAGGGCUCAACCCGGAAACUGCUUUACAUACUGGCGAGCUGGAGUGAUGCAGAGGUUUGUGGAAUUCCUGGUGUAACGGUGAAAUGUGUUGAUAUCAGGAGGAACACCCAUGGCGAAGGCAGCAAACUGGGCAUCAACUGACGCUGAGGCGCGAAAGCGUGGGUAGCAAACAGG
rnacentral:rRNA from 1 species